ACUGAAGUACUGUUGAAAAACGGCGUUAUACCCAAAACAAAGCAAAAAAAAAAUGUUUCAAAGAAAAAAGUCAUGAUUCAAGCUAAAGGAGCGGUUUACUACCUAUUUUCAUAAGUAUUUACAUCCUGUUUAAAAGUAUAUAACUACAGCUGCUCUCCGAUACUUUUCAUUUACUGUUUUCUAUUCUACAGUCUAUGUGAUGAACAAUGGCUGUUUUCUACAUUUCAUAUUUUAUAUUGCUAUUCGUUUGUUGUUUCUCGGACGCUCUUGAAGAUGAGUCAGUGUUCUCAAAAUUGAAAUAUGACAAGGAAAUGUUAGAGACAAUGGUUAGAAUGGAAGCUAGAAUGAAGAAAUGGGACAAAGAAAGAAAAAUAUUCGAAGAGAAUGUCAUGUCUAUCUUGGAGCAUCGUAGAGAAGAAAUGCAAGAAUCGUUUUCUGCCCAAAACGAAAAGUUACAGAGGAUGUUUGAGGACUAGAACGAGAUACGUAAUGAACUAGCAAACACGACUAGUGGUCUGGAGGAGUUAGUUGGAACACUAGGCGGCAAGCAAAAGGUUGCAUUCAACGCAUAUACAACAUCCGGCGGAAGUUACAAUGACAAUCAGAAGAUUAUAUUUCCUCAUGUUCUUCUAAACGCAGGCGACGGAUAUGACAAUAUCACCGGAGACUUCACGGCACCUACUGCUGGCUUAUACUAUUUCGGCGCACACAUCUGCCAUCAAAAUGCAAAAUACAUGGUUGUCUCAAUCGUCCAUGAAGGCAA
rnacentral:lncRNA from 1 species